UCCCCCCUUAUCUAUCUGUACCUGCGCUCUAAUCGUCCGAGAACGGAGACUAUAUCAAACAGGAUAGAACUAUCUGUAUAUGUUUCUGUAAAUGGAGUAAUUUUUUUAUCAAAAAACCAUUGUCAGCAUAAUCUACAGAUAUAUUUCGAGGGUAAUCAAAUCACACUGAAUAAAGUUAAUAUAAGUGUAGUUUUAUACCUUUAACAGUAUAAAAUAACGUGCCAAUAGU